GUCGUUCCAGCGCACGCCGGCGCUGCUCUGCAUCGACCUAGCCCGCUCAUGCGCCUCCGCUUCCGCGGCAGCCGCUCGUCACCGUCGGCCUCCCCAGCUGCUACCCAUCGCCAAGAACGCUGGCCGCCUCCGUCACGGACAUCAUCGGCGCGACGGCCAGGCCCCAUGCUCCUCGCGCCCCUGCACCACGACGCCGCUCUGCCCAUCGACGACCACCUCGACCUCCGUCCCCUCAAAAGGCCAGCCCGCCUCUGUUCCAUCCAUGUACGUCAAGAACGUCGUCGUCUACGUACGUCCGGCCGUCACGCGCUGGUCGCUGCAAGAUCGCCGCCAUUCUCCUCUCGUUUCCGUCCGCGUCGGUCACCUCUGGUUGCGCCAUCGAUUGUUCAUGAAGACGAGCUCCUUUUCCUUCACAUGAUCUGCAGUGCAACUUGAUUGCAAGCCGGCGCCAAGCACGCUCGCCAUGAUCUCCAGAACAUCGCCGUCGGAUGCGUCUCACCGGUCUCCGUCUUCAUCCGCAUCGCUCAGGUCCAAGGCACGUCCUUGCCGUUUCAAAAUCGUCGCGUUUCCUUCACAGCAAGAAAACACAUCAGCAACGCAGUGGAUUCCUAGAUCAGAAACAUCAGCGCCAGUCAGCCUCCCUUGGCCCAGCCGAUCAGCAACCCGGGCUGGAUUCACCACGGUGAGAAACGUCUCAACGUUUCUCUGUUUUUCCUGAA